GUAGGUGAACCUGCGGAAGGAUCAUUAUCGAGUUAGGGUCCUCUGGGCCCCAUCUCCAACCCUUGCCUACUACGCUACUGCGGCACUCCGCCGCGGGGGCUUUAAAAUUUCUUUUUAAACUCUUUAACCAUGUCGUCCUGCGGGAGAAUCUUAAUUUAAGCAAAACUUUCAACAACGGAUCUCUUGGUUCUGGCAUCGAUGAAGAACGCAGCAUCUGACUGACUGAACUGUAUCUCAUCUCGUAUGCCGU
rnacentral:misc_RNA from 1 species